rnacentral:rRNA from 1 species
AACGAACGCUGGCGGCAUGCCUAACACAUGCAAGUCGAACGAGACCUUCGGGUCUAGUGGCGCACGGGUGCGUAACGCGUGGGAACCUGCCCUUAGGUUCGGAAUAACUCCCCGAAAGGGGUGCUAAUACCGGAUAAUGUCUUCGGACCAAAGAUUUAUCGCCUUUGGAUGGGCCCGCGUUGGAUUAGCUAGUUGGUAGGGUAAAGGCCUACCAAGGCGACGAUCCAUAGCUGGUCUGAGAGGAUGAUCAGCCACACUGGGACUGAGACACGGCCCAGACUCCUACGGGAGGCAGCAGUGGGGAAUAUUGGACAAUGGGCGAAAGCCUGAUCCAGCAAUGCCGCGUGAGUGAUGAAGGCCUUAGGGUUGUAAAGCUCUUACCCGGGAUGAUAAUGACAGUACCGGGAGAAUAAGCUCCGGCUAACUCCGUG